GACGAACGCUGGCGGCGUGCUUAACACAUGCAAGUCGAACGGAAAGGCCCUGCUUUUGUGGGGUGCUCGAGUGGCGAACGGGUGAGUAACACGUGAGUAACCUGCCCUUGACUUUGGGAUAACUUCAGGAAACUGGGGCUAAUACCGGAUAGGAGCUCCUGCUGCAUGGUGGGGGUUGGAAAGUUUCGGCGGUUGGGGAUGGACUCGCGGCUUAUCAGCUUGUUGGUGGGGUAGUGGCUUACCAAGGCUUUGACGGGUAGCCGGCCUGAGAGGGUGACCGGCGACAUUGGGACUGAGAGAAGGCACAGACUCCUAAGGGAGGCAGCAGGGGGGAAUAUUGAACAAUGGGCGGAAGGCUGAUGCAGAAACGCCGCGUGCGGGAUGACGGCCUUAGGGGUGUAAAACGCUUGCGCCUGUGACGAAGCGUGAGUGAAGGUAAUGGGUAAAGAAGCACCGGCUAACUACGUG
rnacentral:rRNA from 1 species